GAUGAACGCCGGCGGCGUGCCUAAUAUAUGCAAGUCGAGCGAAGCGGGGACGGGUGCGUAACACGUGGAUAACCUCCUAUAAGACUGGGAUAACUUCGGGAAACCGGAGCUGAAUCGGAUACUUAUAUAUGGAUCCGCGUGGCAUUAGCUCGUUGGUAAGGUAACGGCUUACCAAGGCAACGAUGCAUAGCCGACCUGAGAGGGUGAUCGGCCACACUGGAACUGAGACCCGGUCCAGACUCCUACGGGAGGCAGCAGUAGGGAAUCUUCCGCAAUGGGCGAAAGCCUGACGGAGCAACGCCGCGUGAGUGAUGACGGCCUUCGGGUUGUAAAGCUCUUUUAAUCGGGGCGCGGUACCGGAAUAGAAAGCCACGGCUAACUACGUGCCAGCAGCCGCGGUAAUAC
rnacentral:rRNA from 1 species